rnacentral:rRNA from 1 species
UACGGAGGAUGCGAGCGUUAUCCGGAUUUAUUGGGUUUAAAGGGUGCGUAGGCGGCGCUUCAGGUCAGCGGUGAAAUACCGGGGCUCAACCCCGGGGCUGCCGUUGAAACCGGAGCGCUAGAAUUCCGAUGCCGUCGGAGGAAUGUGUGGUGUAGCGGUGAAAUGCAUAGAUAUCACACAGAACUCCGAUCGCGAAGGCAAGUGUCCGGGGUGCAACUGACGCUGAGGCUCGAAAGUGCGGGUAUCAAACAGG